ACCUGGGAAUUGCGCUUGGGACUGAGAGGCUUGAGUACGGGAGAGGAGAGUGGAAUUCCCAGUGUAGAGGUGAAAUGCGUAGAUAUCGGGAGGAACACCUGUGGCGUAGGCGAGUCUCUAGGCCACUCCUGACGCUGAGGCGCGAAAGCGUGGGGAGCGAACGGAAUUAGAUACUCCGGUAGUCCACGCCCUAAACGAUGGACACUAGGUGUGGUGGGUAUCGACCCCUGCCGUGCCGUAGUCAACACAAUAAGUGUCCCGCCUGGGGACUACGAGCGCAAGCUUAAAACUCAAAGGAAUUGACGGGGGCCCGCACAAGCAGCGGAGCGUGUGGUUCAAUUCGACGCAACACGAAGAACCUUACCGGGGUUUGACAUGUACAUGUAAUCCCGUGAAAACGGGACCCCUC
rnacentral:rRNA from 1 species